UAAUGGCGUGGCGCGCCGUUUCCUCCUGUGCUGUAGGAUUGAGGAGACAAGGCCAGUGAGACAAGUAGUGACCCACGGAUAUACUACAAACAUGAGUUUCACAAAAAUCUCUCCAGAGACUGUGUCUGGAAAUGCUUCAAAUUCCACAGUUGUUAUUACCAGGACAUGUAUGUGGCCAAGCAAAACAGAAUCUUCAACAGAAGAGAUGUGUGAGAAUACAAAUAUUUUCAAAAUAUGUUCAAAAACAGUUGAAAUAAAUUCUACAAUGUCAGGACGAUUAAGUUCAAGUGUAGUCUGAGAUCUUGGUGGACCUUUCCUGCUUCCUCUCAGUGAGCUCUGUUGGUGAUCACUAGGCUGGGCACGGCCAGGAAAGGAGUGGGUUGGCUUUCUCACUUCACUUUAGUGCUAAUAGGAACCUACCUAGAGAAAACACUUAUUUUACAGGCUGCAUCUGGGUCUCAAGGGAGCCAGGUGCAGAAACACCAUAAGCACCAGAGUCAUGUUUUCUGUGAAGUGGUAACUCCUUGAGAAGAAACACAGAAAAUCCUCCAGUCCAUCCAUUCUAAUUAGUUCUUACCCACUUCCUAGAAUAAGCAUAGUGAAUUUCAAUCAAGGCAAAACUCUCAACACAAAUUUUACUGCAUCUCUUUUUCACGAAAAGAUCUCAGGAUUCCCAAAGUAUUUCUGGACCCAAAAAGCCAAGAUGCACAACGAUAGGCCGCCCACUGGUACUGUCCAGGAGUCUGGAAAUGAGACACUUCUAGGGGUCUGGACAGUGUUUGUUUUCUCUGCCAGUUAAAGAAUUAAAAGGCGGGAAAAACUCAAGCCCCCCAGGUACCAUCAAAAAAAAAAAAAAAAAAAUCUCAAACACUACUGACAGAAUCCACAGUUGAAGAAAAGUGUUUCCUGGGAGUGAGGAAACACAUAUGCAGCAGACAGAGAAAAAGAUAUUCUGCAAAGCAGGGGAGGGGGAACUCAGGAAGCUACCAGAUCUGGGAGGCUGGAGCUUCAUCCUCUAAUUUAGAGCUGUUCAGGUGAAGAUGGCUGAUUGCUCAUAGUUGUUGUGCAAUAGGCCAUGAACUUGUAGAGCUAGUCCAUCAGCAGGGGACCUGCUGGUGGGAGACAAAAGACUAAAAAGCCUUUGCUUUAAGCUGCCAGUCUUGCCUCAAGUCAGGAGCAUCAGGAAGAUAAUGUCCAUCUUGGAAAUCUGUCUGCCUAGCCAAGGCCUCUCUCCCUAUCUGCUUACCCUGCAGGGGGUCUGUUUAACUCCUGGUCUCUUAUUUACACCUGGAUGCACAAGUAGGAUUGCUCCAAGUUCAGAGCCAGCCUGGUCUACCUAACUGGUUCCAGGCAGCCAGGGCACAAAGUAAGACCUUAUUUUGAAAGAUUAAAAAACAAAAACUAAACAAAACAAAAAGACAAGAAAAAUACUUAUGCCUGUAAUAUCUGCAAGUUGGGAGUCAGAGGUAGGAGUUUACAGUCAUUCUCAGAUAGGCUAGGCUGGGGCACAUGAGAGUUUGCCUCAAAGCACAACCACUACCAAACAAACCCCAGCAGAAUGACUUACACCUGUAAACUUAGCACUGGGGAGGCUGAGUCGGGAAGAUUGUCAUCAGCUUAAGGACAGCCUGUGAGGCUCUGUCUCAACAGUGAAAAGCCAGUUCAGGUCCAUCUAUCCUAUUUUCCUAUGUUAACCUCUACUGUGACACAGUAUGAGGAGACUGGAGCCAGAAAAAAAAAAACGUAAAAAUGCUUACAAGGAACUCAACAUUCUCAAUUCAAGUUAAGGAGACAAAGGCCUAGAGAAGUGAGCAUAGACUGCCUUCCGAAGACCAUGCACUGAAUAUAUAGAUAGAUGAACGCUGAGUUACGGAAGAUAUUCCUCAAACCAAUUUUCAGUGUCUUCACAUUCUCUGAAAAGAGAGACAGCUGGAAGAGGCGGUAAGCGGAUAACAAUGCGCACCCACAGUUUUGUAAAAACAAAACAAAACAAAAAACAAGCAAGCAAACAAACAAAAACAGCAAAU